AGAACGAACGCUGGCGGCAUGCCUAAUACAUGCAAGUCGAACGAAGGCUUCGGCCUUAGUGGCGCACGGGUGCGUAACGCGUGGGAAUCUGCCCCUUGGUUCGGAAUAACAGUUGGAAACGACUGCUAAUACCGGAUGAUGACGAAAGUCCAAAGAUUUAUCGCCAAGGGAUGAGCCCGCGUAGGAUUAGCUAGUUGGUGAGGUAAAGGCUCACCAAGCCAACGAUCUGUAGCUGGUCUGAGAGGACGACCAGCCACACUGGGACUGAGACACGGCCCAGACUCCUACGGGAGGCAGCAGUGGGGAAUUUGGACAAUGGGCGCAAGCCUGAUCCAGCAAUGCCGCGUGCAGGAAGAAGGCCUUCGGGUUGUAAACUGCUUUUGUACGGUAACGAAACGGUCCUGGUUAAUACCUGGGCUAAGUGACGGUACCGUAAGAAUAAGCACCGGACUAACUACGUGCCAGCAGCCGC
rnacentral:rRNA from 1 species